rnacentral:rRNA from 1 species
AUGGCCAUCUUCAACAAGUUCUAUGUAGGCUCCAUCGACCUCGGCUGGCUCAACUAUGGGAUCAUCUCGCUCAUCCCCAAAGUGCAUGGGGCUUCCGACAUCCGCCAGUUCCGCCCAAUCACGCUGAUCAAUGUGAUCUUCCAGAUCCUGGCGAAAGGGUACGCCAAUAGGGUGACCUUGCUUGCGGAUCAUAUUACUCACCCCAACCAGUCCGCCUUCAUCCAAGGGCGGUAUAUCCUAGAUGGGGUGGUUGUCCUCCACGAAGUGCUCCAUGAGGUCCGCUCUAAGCACCUCAAGGCAGUCGUCCUGAAGCUCGAUUUCCAUAAGGCUUACGAUACAGUCAGUUGGUCCUUC